AGGACCCAAUGAUCAAGAGGCAGCAGUUACAACAACCUAUACUAAGGAAUUAAGAGAUUGGCAUCCCACCCAGAUUACUGGCAGCAUCAGUGUAAUUGGAAUUGAUAUCCCUAUUCAUCUUCUAAUCCGUGUUACUGGUGGAUGCAUUGGAUUAUUUAUUAUCUCAGUCCUGGCUUUAUGCAUCAGAUUCUGUAACAAACGUGUAAAAGAUUUAAGAGAAGCCGAGGAAGAGCUGCGUUGCCUCCAAAUCGUUGUAGAAGGAGUCAAAAUACAGAAGCCAGAUGUAGACCCUGAGACAAAGGAAGAUACUCCUAUUAAAGAAAUAGGAACUGAAGGGAUAUAAAUACCUACAGAGUCUACUGUAGUGUCUACUAUAAAGACUGAUCCCCCUCAUGAGAGCUGUGCUGAUACAGAGAAAAGAAACAGAAGAAAGUGUCAAGGAAAUACAAAGAACAGAACAGGUUGAGAUAUUGAUUGAGGAAACAGAUGAACCAGAAGUUCAUAAAUAGAAAGAAGUAGUUGAUAAUAUGAACAAUGCAGCUCAGAAAGCAAAUGAGACCAAACAGAACCAAGGGAAGACGAAGAAGAAGAGAGGAAAGAGGAAUCUCAAAAAGUAAAGAGCAGAAAUGACAGUUAUGUGAGAGAAUAAAAGCCAAGAUGUGAAGGAGCCGCCAUUCAAAAUACACAAUGGAAUAACAGUAGCUCUUUGCAACAGGCCUUUGCGGCUCAGACUAUGGCUAUCCCUAUGGAUUAGGGCACCCGGAUGGACUGUGAUGGGCAUAACACCAUUAUAUGCCUGUCACCACUUCCCGUAGACAAUAAUAAAUAAAUAAAUAAAGCAUUACAUAAAUAAAGAUCUCAUUUUUCAUCCUUUUUAUUGGGUUGCAUGGCUUCUUCUCCCACACACGUGGUAAUAAAAUGCCCUUUUAGCAUCACAGGGACCACUUGGAAAAUGCAACAUGUGACCCUUGAGAUUAUG